rnacentral:misc_RNA from 1 species
GCAAACUUGGUCAUUUAGAGGAAGUAAAAGUCGUAACAAGGUUUCCGUAGGUGAACCUGCGGAAGGAUCAUUACCGAGUGUCAGGCCCCCCUCGCGGGGCCUACCCUCCCAUCCUUGUCUCUAUGAUUCCCUGUUGCUUCGGCGAGCCCACCGGAACUCCGGUCGCUGGGGGACUUCUGGUCCCCGGGCCCGUGCUCGCCGAAGCGCCUGUUGAACCCUGAUGAAGAUGGACUGUCUGAGUGAUUUUGAAAAUUGUCAAAACUUUCAACAAUGGAUCUCUUGGUUCCGGCAUCGAUGAAGAACGCAGC